rnacentral:rRNA from 1 species
AGUGAACGCUGGCGGCAGGCCUAACACAUGCAAGUCGAGCGGCAGCGGGUCCCCGCGAGGGGAUGCCGGCGAGCGGCGGACGGGUGAGGAGCACAUCGGAAUCUGCCUGGUUGUGGGGGAUAACGUAGGGAAACUUACGCUAAUACCGCAUGCGACCCUGAGUCGACGGACUGGGGGUGAAAGUGAGGGACCUUCGGGCCUCACGCGACCAGAUGAGCCGAUGUCGGAUAGCUAGUUGGCGGGGUAACGGCCCGCCAAGGCGACGAUCCGUAGCUGGUCUGAGAGGAUGAUCAGCCACACUGGGACUGAGACACGGCCCAGACUCCUACGGGAGGCAGCAGUGGGGAAUCUUGGACAAUGGGCGCAAGCCUGAUCCAGCCAUGCCGCG